CCCAAAAAUCAGAAACUUUUUCCCCAAUUCCCAUUUCUUUCACGUAUUCCUUCACCGCCAUUCCCUUCCCCUUCUUCCUCCUUCUCAUUCCUUUCUUCUUCUUCGAGCGACAGCAGCACCGGCACCAUCUUCACCAUCUUCUUCCUCCUUCUUCUUGUAAUUGUUGUUGUAAACAAACUAAGGAGACGACUUUAUUGAAGAGCCCUUCUAGAAAUCGCGGAGUACCAGACUUAGCCUCUUGAAGCGUUCUUUUGCUGAUUACAGAUCGGAUCCGGUCGGGGAUAAUCGGGUUAGCGAUGUUGAUGAGAGUGCUAAGGAUGUUCUUUUGAGCUGAGGCCGUGGAAGCUUCUAGUUUGUAUUAGGAAUUUGUUUAAUGUAUAAUAGUUCUGAUUAGUUUUGAUUAUGUUGAUUAUAAUGGACUUGUAGUGAGUUGUAUGGUUACUUUAUGUCUAGAUUAGAUAUUUGGUUUGAGAUUUAGCUGUGUUGGUCUCGUAAUAGAGCUGGUGGUUCCUUUGCCCAGGUUUUGGGAUAUGAUUUAAGUUUCUUGGGAAAUAAUCCCCGUGACGACCUUGUUUACCUAGUCAACGGUAAGUCGGGUUGUUACAGUUGGUAUCAGAGCCAAAUACGUGAACUGAGGAUCUUUGGAUGGGCAAUAAGGAUAUAGGACAAGUGUGAGUUAGAGAAAGACACUAGGUGUGAAGUUAGAGAUUAGGUAGACGCUAGUUAGUGGGGUAUCGUGAAGCGGACGUUUAAUUCAAUUAUUGUUUUACAGUGUUUCAUAUGCUUAUGUGUGCACGUAUUUUAUUAGGUUAUUUAUUGUUGUUAAAAUACAUGUUCUUU